GGGGAAUCUUCCGCAAUGGGCGAUAGCCUGACGGAGCAAGACCGCGUGCGGGAGGAAGGUCUAUUGAUUGUAAACCGNCUUUUGAUAGGGAAGAAGAUCUGACGGUACCUAUCGAAUCAGCAUCGGCUAACUCCGUGCCAGCAGCCGCGGUAAUACGGGGGAUGCAAGCGUUAUCCGGAAUUAUUGGGCGUAAAGCGUCCGUAGGUGGUUUUAAAAGUCUGUUGUCAAAUCGCGAGGCUUAACCUCGUACAGGCAGUGGAAACUAUAAGACUAGAGUGCGGUAGGGGUAGAGGGAAUUUCCAGUGUAGCGGUGAAAUGCGUAGAUAUUGGAAAGAACACCGGUGGCGAAGGCGCUCUACUGGGCCUGCACUGACACUGAGGGACGAAAGCUAGGGGAGCGAAAGGGAUUAGAUACCCCUGUAGUCCUAGCCGUAAACGAUGGAAACUAGGUGUUGCCCGUAUCGACCCGGGCAGUGCCGUAGCUAACGCGUUAAGUUUCC
rnacentral:rRNA from 1 species